CGAACAUAAAUUGGACAUACACAACGGAAGGAUGGUUACAGCCUUAGCCAGGAAGGUUUAUGAACAUAAUGUGGUCAUCAACUGGAAUCAUGCUAUGGUGGUUAAGCCAGUAUCGGAUUGCUUUGGGCUCAACGUCCUUGAGGCGAUUGAGAUUGAAAAAAGGAAACUACACUGUAAUAUUAUAAAUGACAAUCCACCUACUGAACUGCCGGAGUCCUGGAAAUGGUAUGCUCUACACGAUUUAUAAUACAUUGAUUAGUGCCCAAUUGGUGGUAUCCAUCUAUGAAUCUGAAGACGUUUAUUUACCCCUGUUGGACCUGCUAUACCAAAUAUCAUCCUAGCAUAAUUGGCAUCUUGUGUUCUAUAUAUGUUACCUGUACUUAUUAAAUGUAUAACUAUAUAGUCUCUUGUAAACGUGUAUGUUGAGUUUCUAUAUGUAAAUCUGUAUGUCACGCCCUAUGUUGAAUGUAUGCUUUUAAGGUCGUUUUUCACAUACUAUGUUUAUAAUUCAUAACAUUUGUUCAUUU
rnacentral:lncRNA from 1 species